GAUGAACGCUGGCGGCGUGCCUAAUACAUGCAAGUCGAGCGAACAGAUGAGGAGCUUGCUCCUCUGACGUUAGCGGCGGACGGGUGAGUAACACGUGGAUAACCUACCUAUAAGACUGGGAUAACUUCGGGAAACCGGAGCUAAUACCGGAUAAUAUAUUGAACCGCAUGGUUCAAUAGUGAAAGACGGUUUUGCUGUCACUUAUAGAUGGAUCCGCGCCGCAUUAGCUAGUUGGUAAGGUAACGGCUUACCAAGGCAACGAUGCGUAGCCGACCUGAGAGGGUGAUCGGCCACACUGGAACGGAGACACGGUCCAGACUCCUAAGGGAGGCAGCAGUAGGGAAUCUUCCGCAAUGGGCGAAAGCCUGACGGAGCAACGCCGCGUGAGUGAUGAAGGUCUUCGGAUCGUAAAACUCUGUUAUUAGGGAAGAACAAAUGUGUAAGUAACUAUGCACGUCUUGACGGUACCUAAUCAGAAAGCCACGGCUAACUACGUG
rnacentral:rRNA from 1 species